UACGGAGGGUGCGAGCGUUGUCCGGAAUCACUGGGCGUAAAGGGCGCGUAGGCGGCGCGGAUAGUCGGCGGUGAAAGCCCGGAGCUCAACUCCGGGUCGGCCGUCGAUACUUCCGGGCUUGAGCACUGUAGAGGCAGAUGGAAUUCCGGGUGUAGCGGUGGAAUGCGUAGAGAUCCGGAAGAACACCGGUGGCGAAGGCGGUCUGCUGGGCAGUUGCUGACGCUGAUGCGCGACAGCGUGAGGAGCAAACAGG
rnacentral:rRNA from 1 species